GAUACGCGUACCAAGUACUCGGUGUAAACUAGGUCAGAAGAGACAGAAAUUCAACUGAGUGAACAAGAAGAAAAAAGGUGCUCGUGAAGUAUUCAUUAAAAGAGAUUUAUACAAAUGAAAUUCCUCAGUAGUCGACAGCUGGAAAUCUGGCAAUAAAUCUGACUUUGUUACAUCCACUUGGUUACUUUCCGGAUUUGACAUGACAUCUUACGAGAUGAUGCGAGCAUCCAACUGAUUGCCUGUUAAUGAUCCUGUAUCAGAUGUAUCGAUAAGAUUAUCUGGCAGUCUCGGAAUCAAUAGAUACCUUCGGCAGAAGUACCGACCACUAUCGGUGUAACAUUAACUCGAUUAGUCAUUAAUUGGAGACCUUACCUUGGGUAAUGACGGAAUUGUUAUCAAAUGUUUAAAAUACUGCAUAUGUUUAACUGCAGUAUUGUAAAAGCUCUUCAAUUUGUGGAAUUACUUUGAGAAUCUAUUGCGGUGUCCGGUCAAUGUAUCCGGGAGCACACCAUGAAGAUUAAACAGGAUUUUCACGUCACAAUCGUACAGGUGCGAAGCGUCUUGGAUACAUGGAAACAAAGGCGCGAGUCGGCAUUGACCACACAAUGUCAUUGAGCAGGCAACUGAUGGCACCCAGCACCUAACCAAAAAAA
rnacentral:lncRNA from 1 species